rnacentral:rRNA from 1 species
UGUGUAGGCGGUUGGAUAAGUGUGGUGUGAAAUCUCCCGGCUUAACUGGGAGGGUGCGCUACAAACUGUCUGACUAGAGUGCGGGAUGGGAAAGUGGAAUUCCUGGUGUAGCGGUGAAAUGCGUAGAUAUCAGGAGGAACACCGGUGGUGUAGACGGCUUUCUGGACCGUAACUGACGCUGAAACACGAAAGCGUGGGUAGCAAACA